UUUCCCGGUGAUCCUGCCGGACUGACUGCUAUCGGAUUGAUACUAAGCCAUGCGAGUCAUUGUAGUAAUACAAGGCAGACGGCUCAGUAACGCGUAGUCAACCUACCCUAUGGACGGGGAUAACCUCGGGAAACUGAGAAUAAUACCCGAUAGAACAUUAUACCUGGAAUGGUUUAUGUUUCAAAUAAUUUAUUGCCGUAGGAUGGGACUGCGGCCUAUCAGUUUGUUGGUGAGGUAAUGGCCCACCAAGACUAUUACAGGUACGGGCUCUGAGAGGAGAAGCCCGGAGAUGGGUACUGAGACACGGACCCAGGCCCUAUGGGGCGCAGCAGGCGAGAAAACUUUGCAAUGUGCGAAAGCACGACAAGGUUAAUCCGAGUGGUUCCUGCUAAAGGAAUCUUUUGUUAGUCAUAAUACCACUGAUGAAUAAGGGGUGGGCAAGUUCUGGUGUCAGCCGCCGCGGUAAAACCAGCACCUCAAGUGGUCAGGAGGAUUAUUGGGCCUAAAGCAUCCGUAGCCGGCUUUGUUAGUUUUCGGUUAAAUCCAUAUGCUCAACGUAUGGGCUGCCGGGAAUACUACACAGCUAGGGAGUGGGAGAGGUAGACGGUACUCCGUAGGAAGGGGUAAAAUCCUUUGAUCUAUGGAUGACCACCUGUGGCGAAGGCGGUCUACCAGAACACGUCCGACGGUGAGGGAUGAAAGCUGGGGGAGCAAACCGGAUUAGAUACCCGGGUAGUCCCAGCUGUAAACAAUGCAAACUCAGUGAUGCAUUGGCUUGUGGCCAGUGCAGUGCCGCAGGGAAGCCGUUAAGUUUGCCGCCUGGGAAGUACGUACGCAAGUAUGAAACUUAAAGGAAUUGGCGGGGGAGCACCACAAGGGGUGAAGCCUGCGGUUCAAUUGGAUUCAACGCCGGG
rnacentral:rRNA from 1 species